AGCAGAAUAAUAGAAAACAACAAUUAAAUCUCAUGCCAUCAUGUAAUGCAACACAUCACAACAAAUCACAUCUCGGAUGGUAUUGUCACCAAUAGUCCUCUACAUUCCAAAGUGCCGGGACGUAGAAUGGGUACAACCGGUCUUUCUCUUAACAUAACAUAUCAUACAUACCAAUGUGCCAGGGACGUAGAAUGGGUACAACCUGGACUUUCUCUUACAUAGUGCCAGGGACGUAGAAUGGGUACAACCUGGACUUCCAUACCAUAUCAUGCCGUAGCAUCAUCAUACCAUAUGAGGACUAAAGGAUCAUUCAAUAACCAAUCCACAUCAACAUCAUAAAUGCAAUGCAAC
rnacentral:lncRNA from 1 species